GUCAAAUCACCAAUUCACGUGACAGUUGAAAAAAUGACAUUUUGCAUAUGAGAGGUCUCAAAACAAUUUCCCUUCCACUCACUUUUCUCAGGAAGCUGCUGGAGGAUGUCCUCCAUCAAAAGGGGAAUGAAAAAUCUACACAAAACAUCAAAAUGAAAGAAGUUUUAUUAUUGAAUAGGCAUAAACUGGAACAUGGACAUGGUUGAUCACCUGCAAAGAGAUUAUAAAGAAAGAAAUUCUAUCCUAUGUAAGCAGCCAAGAAGUUAUGAUGCUUUUUGUU
rnacentral:lncRNA from 1 species